UAGUUGUAGCUUUGACUAUUUGACACGUGACUGGGCAACAGUUUCUUACAUCAUGGGCUGCUGGAUUUGUGAAUACGCACUCCCCCUGAUGGUGAUAAUUUACUGCUAUAUUUUCAUCGUAAAAGCUGUCUGUGACCAUGAACGCCACCUUCGAGAACAAGCCAAAAAGAUGAAUGUGGCAUCUCUUCGAUCUAACGUGGAUACCCAAAAGGCGAGUGCUGAGAUGAGAAUAGCAAAGGUGGCGCUGGUGAACGUCCUUCUUUGGGUUGUCUCGUGGACGCCUUAUGCAGCUAUCGCCAUGAUUGGAAUCGCUGGAGACCAGAUGUUGAUCACACCUUUGAGGUCAGCACUUCCGGCCCUAGCAGGCAAGGCAGCUUCAGUUUACAAUCCAAUUGUCUACGCCAUAUCCCACCCUAAAUUCCGGUUAGCCAUGCAGAAGGAAAUCCCAUGUUGUUGCAUAAAUGAACCACAGCCACAGUCUGACACAUCGUCAGAAAUGUCAACGAAAACGUCUGUGGCUACCGUCAAUGGGGAAGAUAGCACUGCUGGAGGAACUACCAAUAAUUAAAACUAGAAUCGAGUUAUUCAUGUCUAUUUUGGUCAAAGUAGUAUAAAGUCUAGAAGUAUUCAAUGUAUAAUGGGACUGCAUAUUUUGCUAUAUUUGUAGAAUUAACUUAUAGUGCUUAUAUUUUCUUGGAAUUUUUCGAUUGACUUUCAAUAUUUUAAGUGAGAUUGUACGUGAAGAAAAAA
rnacentral:sRNA from 1 species